AUAUAUUCCCGUGAUGGGGAAUUCAAAGUUGACUAUAUUUAGCCCAUGCAAAAAGAAAAGAGAUCAUAUAUUCCUUAUACACUUCAUUACUCAAUAUGCAUAUAUUCCUUCUAAAGGGUUAUAAAAAGAGAGCACAUCCAUGUGAGGAAUGAGGCAAAACAUAUUGAGUAAUGGAGUGUAUAAUGAGGAAGAGAGGUCUAACAUGGCGAAAAGAGUCAUGUUUAAUAGCCAAGGAUGACUUGCCUGAUCUUUUUCACCUCCAUGAUUCAAUUUGAAGUUCAUGCGUUUUGGAUUAUUAUGCAUCUAAAAGGUAUAAUAAUUCGAAAAUCAUGUUGAAUCAUGCGGGUUAGGUUUCAGGCAGUCUCCUUGGCUAUCUUGACAUGCUUUUUUCAUCCAUGUUAUACCUGUUUUUCUUUCUGUCUCUAAAGUCACUAUUAAGUCUCUUCGUAGAACAAAACAAAACUCAAUCUUUAUUAGGGUAUCUCAAAUGUUGAAAAUGUCAAUUUUUCGCAUUGGUUUCGAAUGCAUUUUUAAUAGUGUUUUGAUGAGUGAUUAUUUAGAAGGAGAUGUCAAAGAUGAGUAGGAGAAUCAUAUUUGGUAGCCAAGGAUGACUUGCCUGAUUCCUUUGCGUAAAAUGGUUAGUGUCAUGUUUGACAAAGUGACUAUCAAUUACAUCAAGCGAUGACCAUUUUGCUUAUAAAAAAGAUGUCAGGCAGUCUCCUUGGAUAUCCUUAUAUGUUCUUCUCUUUCAUCUCAGACAUUCAUCUUCAUCCAAAAUAAGAGAGGCAUGACAUGAAUGAUCAUCGAAAGACAAUGUUGAUGACUUUGAGCUUUUUGCAUGUCUAUAUAUAUGUAAUGUAAUACAUUAAUUUUACGGUUACGGAAGCUCUUUAAGACAAAUAUGUUCUAAACUCAUAUACGACGACAUAGAGAUAGCUAUAGCUAGAUAGAUAUUUUAAGGUUGUUAUACAAGGAAGAAGAAUAUAUUGAACGUCCUCAUCUUUUUUGUUCAACGCUCCACCUUCUAUUUAAACACAGAUUGAGAUCACUUUUAAAACGGAGAUAACUUUCCAAUCAUGUUUUUUUUUUUUUUUUGAAAACAUUUCAGAUUUGCAGACUUUUAUUGAUAUCCAAAAAAUUUGCUCUCCUAAUCAUAUUUUUACUCACAGACUAGUCUACACUUUUUUUGUUAUUUACGAAUUAAUUUGUGUCUCUCUUUGUUUGUCUUUGACGCAGAGCGAAUAAAACGACGUGUCGUGAAUUAGUAUUUUACUUACAUAGCUUCCUGUCUCAGGCCUGAACUAGUGAGUGAGCAUCGGAGAAUCAGAGAAAAUGGAGAUCGGAAUCAGGCAAAGAGAUUGGUGGGUAGAUUUGGACCUCAAGUCUCAGUGAUAUCAAUUAUUGUGACGUUUGUUUAUUUUGAUCGCAACUCCAUCAAAGGGAAGCAAAAAAAAAAAAAAAAAAAAAAG